rnacentral:rRNA from 1 species
CCUACGGGUGGCAGCAGUGGGGAAUAUUGGACAAUGGGCGAAAGCCUGAUCCAGCCAUGCCGCGUGUGUGAAGAAGGCCUUCGGGUUGUAAAGCACUUUCAGUGGGGAAGAAAGCCUUGGGGCUAAUACCCUCGAGGAAGGACAUCACCCACAGAAGAAGCACCGGCUAACUCCGUGCCAGCAGCCGCGGUAAUACGGAGGGUGCGAGCGUUAAUCGGAAUUAUUGGGCGUAAAGCGCGCGUAGGCGGUCUGAUAAGCCGGUUGUGAAAGCCCCGGGCUCAACCUGGGAACGGCAUCCGGAACUGUCAGGCUAGAGUGCAGGAGAGGAAGGUAGAAUUCCCGGUGUAGCGGUGAAAUGCGUAGAGAUCGGGAGGAAUACCAGUGGCGAAGGCGGCCUUCUGGACUGACACUGACGCUGAGGUGCGAAAGCGUGGGUAGCAAACAGGAUUAGAUACCUAGUAGUC